rnacentral:rRNA from 1 species
UCCUCUAGCUCAAAGUGGCUGACGGGUGCGUAACACGUGGGUAAUCUACCUUCCGGCGGGGGACAACAGUCCGAAAGGACUUGCUAAUAGCCGCGUACGUCAGUCGGCGCCUACGGGCGCUGUUGGGAAAGAUGGCCUCUCUUCAGAAGCUGUCACCGGAAGAUGAGCCCGAGCCCCAUCAGCUAGUUGGUGAGGUAAUGGCUCACCAAGGCUUAGACGGGUAGCAUGGUCUGAGCAGGAUGAUCAGCCGACACUGGGACUGCAGACACGGCCCAGACUCCUACGGGAGGCAGCAGUGGGGAAUAUUGGACAAUGGGGGAAACCCUGAUCCAGCGACGCCGAGUGUGUGAAGAAGGCCUGCGGGUUGUAAAGCACUUUUAGUGGGGAUGAAAAGCACAGGGCUAAUACCCAUGUGUCUUGACCUAACCCAAAGAAAAAGCACCGGCUAACUCUGUGCCAGCAGCCGC